AUGGCUAUAUCGCUUUGAAACAGCAUUUCUCGUCCAAUCAUUGAAGUUAAGCAACGUUGAGCCUAGUCAGUACUUAUAUGGGUAACCGUUUGGGAAUACUAGGUGCUGUAA